rnacentral:lncRNA from 1 species
UCCGCCUGUCCUACGAAGGCCGUCUCGUUUAAUUCUAGGUUGAGGACACUUCGUACAUGCAUCCCACAGAGGAAUGACUGUGAAGAAAACUUGUAAUUCGACAAAAGAUUCGUCCAUUCAUCCUGCGCGAGAGGGUGGUGGCUGAACCCGCGUCAGUGCAGGAAAGACGAGCCACUGUGAGUUUGUUUGUUUGUUUGUAAUCCCAAAAUAUUCUAGAAUAUAGUGUAACCAAACUUCAUAUUUUGUCACUGCAGAACGGGG